rnacentral:piRNA from 1 species
UAAGGGUGACACUGAGAUCCUUUCUCAGCC